rnacentral:sRNA from 1 species
UAAAUCUCUGCAACACUUAUUUCACGUAA